UGGGGAAUAUUGCACAAUGGGCGCAAGCCUGAUGCAGCCAUGCCGCGUGUGUGAAGAAGGCCUUCGGGUCGUAAAGCACUUUCAGCGAGGAGGAAGGUGGUGAGCUUAAUACGCUCAUCAAUUGACGUUACUCGCAGAAGAAGCACCGGCUAACUCCGUGCCAGCAGCCGCGGUAAUACGGAGGGUGCAAGCGUUAAUCGGAAUUACUGGGCGUAAAGCGCACGCAGGCGGUUUGUUAAGUCAGAUGUGAAAUCCCCGGGCUCAACCUGGGAACUGCAUUUGAAACUGGCAAGCUAGAGUCUCGUAGAGGGGGGUAGAAUUCCAGGUGUAGCGGUGAAAUGCGUAGAGAUCUGGAGGAAUACCGGUGGCGAAGGCGGCCCCCUGGACGAAGACUGACGCUCAGGUGCGAAAGCGUGGGGCAGCAAACAGGAUUAGAUACCCCUGGUAGUCCAGCGCUGUAAACGAUGUCGAUUUUGGAGGUUGUGCCCUUGAGGCGUGGCUUCCGGAGCUAACGCGUUAAAUCGACCG
rnacentral:rRNA from 1 species